ACAGCAGUCGCCGCGGUAAUACGAAGGGUGCAAGCGUUAAUCGGAAUUACUGGGCGUAAAGCGUGCGUAGGCGGUGAGUUAAGUCUGCUGUGAAAUCCCCGGGCUCAACCUGGGAAUGGCAGUGGAUACUGGCUCGCUAGAGUGUGUCAGAGGAUGGUGGAAUUCCCGGUGUAGCGGUGAAAUGCGUAGAGAUCGGGAGGAACAUCAGUGGCGAAGGCGGCCAUCUGGGACAACACUGACGCUGAGGCACGAAAGCGUGGGGAGCAAACAGGAUUAGAUACCCCCGUAGUCCCUGUCUCUAUACA
rnacentral:rRNA from 1 species